UACGGAGGGGGCUAGCGUUGUUCGGAAUUACUGGGCGUAAAGCGCGCGUAGGCGGACCUGCAAGUCGGGGGUGAAAGCCCGAGGCUCAACCUCGGAACUGCCUUCGAUACUGCGGGUCUCGAGUCCGGGAGAGGUGAGUGGAAUUCCUAGUGUAGAGGUGAAAUUCGUAGAUAUUAGGAAGAACACCAGUGGCGAAGGCGGCUCACUGGCCCGGUACUGACGCUGAGGCGCGAAAGCCAGGGUAGCGAACGGG
rnacentral:rRNA from 1 species